AACAGUUUGAGAAGUCUCAAAUAUAUGCACUAGUUAAGAAAAAAGAUUGAGAAUCACUGAACCUACGAAAUGCUUCAUGGGAAGUAAAUAAAAAAUAAAAUAAAAUAAUUAAAAAAGAAGAAGUAGAAGAAGUUGAAUAGUGGGGGCAAAAAAAAAGGUUCUCUUGGUUUGAACCAUAAAUGCUGAUUGAACAGAACCAACAUCCCUCUUUCUUUACCCCAUCAUCCAUUAAUGGCCACAUUAAAAGCUCCAGAUUUGUCUCCGUGAGCUUUUUCACGAAUCUUGUACCUUCUUAAAUAAAUAUUCCCAACUUCCUUUGUCGUUUGGUAGUUGAAAUUUUAAAUGCGACUUCUUCAAUGCUUACCACCAUGCCCUAGGGCCUUCCAUCUCCCUUUGCUAUACACACUACCUUCUUAAAGACCAACUUCCUCCUUCUUCCUUCUUCCUUCUUGUAUGCUUCUCUUGUCAGUCUCUUUGCAACUUUUAUGCCCCUUUAUUCGAAGUUGCUCAUAUAUAUAUAUAUAUAUAGACAUAUUGCUUUUCAAGCACUUCCAAAGUUCCAACCAAAAAUAUAUAUUUGUGGUUUCUGGUACCCAUUUUGGUGUUCUUGAUGUUAAUGUUGAAGCCCAAGAGCAUAUGAGAGAGAAAAUGGAUCAGUUUAACGGGAUAUUGGUCCGGUUCAAUAAGAAAGCAGUGUUCGAAAUGAUUUUGGGCUCUGCUUUUUGAUUGAGCCGUGCCAAUAUCACGUGGCACUACUCUUUAAUCAUUCCAUUUGCUUGCUGUCUCAGCAGCGGCGUUCAAAAGGUAACCCUCUUCUCUUUUUUCCAUUUUCUUUUUAAUUUGUAUAUACUUCUUUGUUUUUAUUUCUUUAUUAUUGUUAUUGAUCUUCACAAUGUCCAUGCAAUGGUUUAUCCAAGUUAUUGAUAUUGGCACAUUAAUUUUGUACCAAGAUUAGUACACUUUGCCGUUUCCUGCUUUGGCUGUUUUUAUUUUAUUAUAUUUUUUCUUUGGUAGUUUUCAUAACAACUUCAAUGUACACAAAAUCCUUGUUGAUUUAUCCCAAGGUUUAUGGAGACAAAGCAAAAGCUGUUUCAUUUUAAAUCUUAAAAACCAUUUUGGAUGCAUGAAACAAUAGCUGGAAGGUUGAGCAAUUAAUAGUCUUCCCACUUCUCUUCACGUUUACGAAAUGGCCGAUAUCUGGAAGGUUGAGCUCUAAAAGAUCUGAAGAAGGUUAUCUUGGGUGCUAAGUUAUUUAAUUAUAGAAUUUUGAGUGAGGACUGGAGAGGUUAGACUUUAGAAUUGGAUAACGUUACGCUUAAACUAGUAUAUAUAGCUUGUAUGUUUAUUUAAGAAACUUUCUGCUUCUUCUUUUUAUAUUCAGCAGCCAAAAUGCAGGAAAUUUGCCAAUGUAACUUUCUGAUGUUCCAGGGACAUUGUGACUCAUUGCAGUAAAUUUUUGUGAGCUAUUUUUAUUUGUUGAACAUAUUGAAUUAAAGACAAUAUAUUUAGAGUACCCUUGAGAGAAUUUCUUUUCAA